rnacentral:lncRNA from 10 species
GAACAGUCACUGAAGGCAUUUAAGUAAGUUGCAUGAGAAAAUAACAGAUUCCCAUGGCUCUUAAUCUUGCUACAUUGCCAUGAUGGUUAAUAUUGAGUAUCAACUUGAUGGAAUUGAAGGAUGCAAAGUGUUGUUCCUGGGUGUGCCUGUGAGAUUGUUGCCAAAGGAGAUUAACAUUUGACUCGGUGGAUUGGGAAAGGCAGACCCACCCUCAAUCUUGAGUGGGCAUAAUCUAAUUGGCUGCUAGUGUGGCCAGAAUAAAAGUAGCAGAAGAAUGUGAAAAGACUAGACUGGCUUAGUCUUCCAGCCUACAUCUUUCUCCCGUGCUGGGUGCUUCCUGCCCUCAAACAUUGGACUCCAAGUUCUUCAGUUUGGGGAAUUGAACUAGCUUCCUUCCUCCUCAGCUUGCAGACAGCCUACUGUGGGACCUCACCUCAUGAUCAUGUGCUCAUGGCCUGCUGAAGACUGAUGUUGGAACAGAAGAGCUGAGAAACACACCUGCCCCUACCUCAAGCCCUGCACCAAGUAAAAGUCAGCAGCAAUAUACCCUGGGGAAAGGGCUAGAGUGUGGCUGGAGAUCUUGCUGAAAGCUGGAGGUGGAGGAGGAAUACAAAGAUAAGAUUUUAGGACUCCAGGCUUCACAACUCCUUCUACAUCUGUUGUUCAAGGUUCAGACUCAAUAUGCAACUAAUUUAUGAAGCCCGUUUAGACCACAACAACCCUGAUGCAAGAUGUUCUCCACUAUGUUAAGAUGCAGCAUGAAGCCCUUACCAGAAGCUAAGAGUAUUCCGUUAGAGCAACACAAAACAGACUAAGACAACUUGUUCAUUACUGAUGUACAGAUUUCACUGACCAGCAACACUCCAGUGAAACUGCAGUCAAAAUUUAUGGAGUCUGCAGUAAAUAUGAAGCUAAAGUAACAGCACUCUCCAGGAAAAGCUGCCUGCUAGAUAACAUGAAGACACGCCAGCAGCCUCAUGGGGGUGGAGGGAAGAGAGGCCUCAUGGUGAGGGACUGAGGCCUCCUACUAAAAGCCAGCACUAACUUGUCAGGCAUGAAAGUGAGCCACCUGGAAGCACAUCUUCAGCCCCUGUGGACCCUUUAGAUGACUGCAGGCCCUGCUGACAUCUUGACUGAAACCUCAUGAGACAGCUAGAACCAGAAUCGCCCAGAGAGAAGAACAUCAAAGGUGCGGGUUUAGGGCCCAGAAAGCCACUGGCCCCUUAAUAUCCAGAAAAGGACAAAAACUCACGGGAGUCAAGCACUGUUUGCCUGGAAGAAGAAAGAUAAAGACACAGACAAGCCCUGCUCCCCCACCAGCCAAAACUACUAUUCUACCUGUUUCCUGAUUCUGACCCACGUAUAUUCACUUGUUUCAUCAUUUUCUCAUUCAAAAAUAUAUUCAUUCAAUUAAUAAUGAUUUACUGAGUGUGUAUUAUGUAGCCAGUGCUUGCAUGGAACUCAGAUUACAGCUGGAAAUGAAACAGAUCUGGUCUUACACCCUCUGUACAUCUUCUUCCUCCUGUUACCACUCUAUCCUGUCUUCAACCUCAACUUCACUACUAAUUUCAUACUUAA